CUGCUUGCCUGGCAGGGGUGAUACCGUGACCACCAGGGUGGUUUUCUCAGGGCGAGGCUUAUCUCCUGCACUCCGGAUGUGCUGACCCCUGCAGUCUCUUCAGAUGUUGGGAACUUGAAUGCAUUAAUUUGUGGUAGUGGGGGGCUGCAUUCGUACCUUCUCCCA